rnacentral:lncRNA from 1 species
UUUUUUGAAUUUGCAAUCCAUCGGGAUGCCCUAACUUUUUUCUAAGUCAAUUUUUUUUGUUUUUUAUUACUUAGUGGGAUUCCUUUUUUUUGGAACAAUUCUUGUGAGAUUUAACUUUUAAUUCAGGAAAGUCAUGACUGCCAUGUGAACUGUUGUGAGCUUUUAUGUUUUCGUUGCUUCCUUGAUGUUGAAUGAAGUACACGAGGAAGAGGAUGUUAUGAGCUUUAUCUUUAUUACUUCCUUGAUGUUGGAUGAUGUGCGCGAGGAAGAUGGUGUACCUAAACCUCUUAUUGGUGUGAUUAUAUGGAAUAAUUCUCUUGCAUUAGGGUGCAUCGUCGAGUUAAUUGAAACUACCCUGCCCUUGGUUAAGAUUAGUUUUUUU